rnacentral:rRNA from 1 species
UACGGAGGGGGCUAGCGUUGUUCGGAAUUACUGGGCGUAAAGCGCACGUAGGCGGCUUUGUAAGUUAGAGGUGAAAGCCCGGGGCUCAACCUGGGAAUGGCAAUGGAAACUGGCGGGCUGGAGUAUGGCAGAGGGGGGUGGAAUUCCGCGUGUAGCAGUGAAAUGCGUAGAGAUGCGGAGGAACACCGAUGGCGAAGGCAGCCCCCUGGGCCAAUACUGACGCUCAGGCACGAAAGCGUGGGGAGCAAACAGG